AAAUCUGAAAGAGAGGUCAGAGUGCAUCAGCUAGCAACCCGCUGUACAAAAUAGCGAGAGGGCGAGAGCUGUGGAAACAAGUCAGAGAAAAGGACCUGAUGGUACUACCUACUCUCCUCUCUGUCUAGCAGUCCAGUCUGUAAGCUAACGUGAACUUUUUCAGCUUCUACUGUCCAGGCCACAGCCCAGUACAAGUUCCUACCUGCCAUUCGCCCCACAAAAUGUGUCUAGCUGUGGCAGUACCACCAAGAACCAAUUUAUGAUCCGAUAUACAAUAAAGCCCACAGAGCUGCUUUUGCGGUUAUUAUUCUGCAUUCACCGCCCCAAUCCACCAGGUUUAAGGCAAAAAGCACCACCAAUAUCUGCCUCAAAGCAUCAUGCAUGUAUAUUCUUUACAUCAGAAGAAAUACGACAGUGGCACAAUUAAGUAACUCCUACGAUUAGAUAGUCUAUGUCCAUAGAGAUGUUUCAAGCAAGUCCUAGUCCCUAACCACGGAGACAAUCGUGACCAGAGAGGUCCCAGACUGGUACUUUUUAAAAGGAAAACACUGGAGGAAACACUUUUCCAGUCUUCCCAUGGAAACAGCGGGAGAGUUUUUUUGAAGGUCUCACUAAGCAGAAGAGAGGUUUUAUCUCCCUUGCUCCGAUUUCUAAAGGUUUUCAACAAGGUCCAAAGAUUCCUCAAAGUUUCUGCAAUGGGAUAAGAGAGAAGGUCCUUUCACGAACAAGUAAUGGCUUGAAAACUCAGAAACAAAAAGGAUGCUGUUUGCAUAUACAAAUCCCUUCUUGCCUGUGAAAAAGCACACUGUAGAAGACAGUACAUGACAAGUACCCAAGCUGUGUGUGUUUGGGAAGUAAGAGACACCAUCUCUUCACAUCAGGAACCCCAUCUCCCCUACUGCGGAUUGCUGCCUGUCAGAGGCUUGUUUCACUUUCUACUCUGGGAGCUGGUCGAGAUAGACACCACAUCUGGUUGCAAUGAUCUGAAACUUUCCUGCCUUUCUCCUGGCAGCCUUACUGAAGGCAAGUCGUGUGUGUACAAUGUGCACAUCAAUGUUGCUUUAGUUGGAAUAUGGAUCCCUUUUGGCCUCAGGCUAAAAUGUGUUGUCACAUGGUGAGAAACAGAAUUUUGACUGGAAAGGUAGGAAUGCAGAGCCAAUAUAAAUAUUCACUGAAAAAAUAGGAAUUACUUUCAAAAUAGGUAAGCUCCCAAUUUAUUUCUUCCUAUUUCCUGAAAAUUUAUCACAUUUGCUUAGCUGAUGGCUUUUUCCUACUUAUCUCUGUUUUCUCACUGCUGACAUAUUUCUGAAAGUGCAGCGGGAGCCGUGUCUUGCUACAUUUUGUGGGAUGUGGUGGUUACGUCAAUUAAAACUUGCAGUUUUGUCUUCAGCAGGAUUGUGGGUUAGCCAGUUCUAC